rnacentral:misc_RNA from 1 species
UCUGCGCCCCGACCUGAGUGGAGCUCUUUUUUGUUAUUUCGAAUCCGAAAAAAUGUAACGGAUUAAAUCACCUUGUUCGCAAUGACAAAAAAAGCGGGAACGGAGGGCGGUCCCGAUA